rnacentral:tRNA from 1 species
AGCCUUAUAUUCAAUAAUGAUAUAAAAUUGCAAAUUUUAAGGAGUAUGAAUAAUAAAUACUAAGGCUU